rnacentral:tRNA from 1 species
GUUAUGGUGGCUGAGUAGGCGGCGAGUUGUAGCCUCGUUUACGGGACGUAGGUCCCCCAUGGCA